GAUGAACGUUGGCGGCGUGCCUAAUACAUGCAAGUCGAACGAAGACUGUAGUAAUACUGUCUUAGUGGCGAACGGGUGAGUAACGCGUGGGUGACCUGCCCCGAAGUGUGGGAUAACAGUCCGAAAGGAUUGCUAAUACUGCAUAAUAUCCAAGAGAUUAGAUGCUUUUGGAUUAAAGGAGUAAUUCGCUUCGGGAGGGGCCCGCGUCCCAUCAGCUAGUUGGUAAGGUAAUGGCUUACCAAGGCGAUGACGGGUAGGGGACCUGAGAGGGUGGCCCCCCACAAUGGAACUGAAACACGGUCCAUACACCUACGGGUGGCAGCAGUAGGGAAUAUUAGUAAUGGGCGAAAGCCUGAACUAGCAACGCCGCGUGUGCGAAGAAGGCCCUUGGGUUGUAAAGCACUUUUUGAGAGGAUGAGGAAGGACGGUACUCUCAGAAUAAGUCUCGGCUAACUACGUGCCAGCAGCCGCGGUAAGUCACGUGUA
rnacentral:rRNA from 1 species